GGAGAGAUGGCUCAGUGGGUAAGAGCACUGGCUGCUCUUCCAGAGGAUGUGGGUUCAAUUCCCGGCAUCUGCA
rfam:Neotoma lepida isolate 417 scaffold_20, whole genome shotgun sequence.